rnacentral:tRNA from 1 species
UGGCUUAGUGGUAGAGCGCUUGCCUUGUAUGCGUGAAACCUUGGGUUCAAUUCCUUA